UACAGAGGGUGCGAGCGUUGUUCGGAAUUACUGGGCGUAAAGCGUGCGCAGGCGGUUUUGUAAGUCUGUCGUGAAAGCCCCGGGCUCAACCUGGGAAUUGCGAUGGAGACUGCAAGGCUUGAAUCUGGCAGAGGGGGGUAGAAUUCCACGUGUAGCAGUGAAAUGCGUAGAGAUGUGGAGGAACACCGAUGGCGAAGGCAGCCCCCUGGGUCAAGAUUGACGCUCAUGCACGAAAGCGUGGGGAGCAAACAGG
rnacentral:rRNA from 1 species